GUUCCUACAUCCAGGAUUCCAAAAAAUGAUACAGAGAAGAUUAGUAUGGCCACUGAGCAAGAAUGACAUGCCAAUACAUGAAGCAGUCUAUAGUUUU
rnacentral:snRNA from 3 species